UACGGGGGGAGCAAGCGUUGUUCGGAUUUACUGGGCGUAAAGGGCGCGUAGGCGGCCACCGCAAGUCAGUUGUGAAACCUCUGGGCUUAACCCAGAACGGUCAGCUGAUACUGCGGGGCUAGAGUGCAGAAGGGGCAACUGGAAUUCUCGGUGUAGCGGUGAAAUGCGUAGAUAUCGAGAGGAACACCUGCGGCGAAGGCGGGUUGCUGGGCUGACACUGACGCUGACAGCGCGAAAGCUAGGGGAGCGAACGGG
rnacentral:rRNA from 1 species